UCUGCCUUGCAAUACACCCAGCCUGCUCCCGGUGCUGUUCCCCUGUCAUCUGCUCCCACCCUCCUCUAACCCUCUGCCUAGCCCCACAUCUGGAGCCACAUCUGGAUCUCAUCAUAACGGCCCUAGAACACCUACAAUACAAGACCUGGUCCUUGUCCGGUCUUCCUGGACCCCACUUGUCACCUGGUGAAGGGAUCCUGUGGUCUGAAAGAGGCUAUGUUCGAUGCUGACCUGUGACUCUGUAGAAGAUGGGAAAUUGUGUUGCAGAGACCUGAGAAAGCAACAGUCUCUCAGAGAAGGGAGGUCCCUCCCAGCGUAGCUGCAAAUCAGGCCCAAGGUUCCUCAGGACAGACCCUGCUGCAAGGCUGGAGCUCCAGUCACUGCUGUGUCACGUGCACUCCUGUGGAUUCCCCACAUGUGACCAACAGAAGAGGACAGAGCAUGGAGCAAGAGAGCAGAGGAGGUGGCGGGAGGCACCACUGGCGUGAAGAAAGAGUGUAUGCAGAUGGACUGAGAUGCAGCCAUGGAGGGGCGUGGCUAACCCUCUCAGAGGACAAUCCUGGGGUAAUUGACCACAUGACAGACAGUAGCCCUUCUGACCUUCUAAGCAAAAUGAUACCCUUAUCAUCGUUCAAUCAGAGGCUUGCUAAGUCGGCGCGGGGAGACGAGACUGCGACAACAAUCAUCGAUGCUUCCGGCAGCCCCUCGCGCCCGAUCCGAUGCACAGCACCGCCAUUAUCAACACAUGAAAGGCUUCCUCAAUUUCACUCUUGAUCAUCAUCAGCCACAACAGAUAUUUAUUGACUGGCUGUUGUGUGCAGGAAAUGUGGCCAGGUGCUGAGGAAGAAAAACUGGGCGAGAAAAUUCUCCAAGGAUUUUUGAAAAGGGGAAGAGAGGUACCAAUAAGCAAGCGAUCUGCCUCCAAAGUGUCCUGGGUGUAGAAAGAAGACAAACGCAGUAGCUUUGAUAAAGGAGGAUGGUCCGGACUGACAACGUAUACUUUCAGGUUGCUCCUCAUGUGAUUUUUGCCAAAUGCAAGAAAAUGAUACCAGCCUAGUUUCUCAACUAAAUGCUGAGUGGCUGUGGGGAGGAAACCCUGCCCAGAAUAUAUCUGUCUCUUCAAAUUUUUUCUUUGUUUUGUUUUAAUAAACAGUUUCAUGCAGCCU
rnacentral:lncRNA from 1 species